GCUGAGGACUGGCUUCGUGGUCCCUGAUGGGAGAGCAUGAACAGGUGGUAUGUGGCUCUUCCUCGGACAAGGCUCUGGAGCAUACAGCUCACUGGUCCAGGACCCCAGAGCCAGAGACCUUGGGACGCCCUGUUUCUGGGGACACAGUGAGGACUGCAGACUGCAGGCCAGGGUGGGGCUCGGGGCCUCCGCCACAUGAGGCUGCCCCCUCCCCCAGUCCAGACCUGCAGAAGGAGUGCUGUAAUGACCAGGACGUUUUGAAGAGGCAUCACAACGUAGCUAAGGUUACCCCCACCCGGGAAACCCCUUCAAUGCAGAAAACUACUGCAAUCUACUGCUGUGGGGCUUAGGGAAGGGGCUGUAAGGCAGAGAGACUCCCAUGAAUGUACCCACUGUGUUUCUUCAGCACCUAGAACAACGCCUGGCACUCAGCAGGCCCUGGCUAAGCAAGUCUUAAAUGAAUGGAUGAAGGAAUGAAUGGAAGGAAAGAGUGUGGUUGUGUGUCUUCCAUGGGGAUUUGGCUGUGAUCCUCUCUCAGCCACAUAAGUGCACUUCUGAGCAUAUGUAGCCCCAGGGGGAGGUGCAUGAAUAUGCCUGGAGUGCAGCUUUGCCUGCACUUAUGGUUUGGGACACCUAGAACUGAGGAGAUCCAACUCUUGUCCAGCCCUCAAAACUGGGUUGAGGUGAGCAAGGAGGCAGCUCAGGGACACAUUUCUACUCCCAUCUCAUCUCUCUUCCUUAGAAGCCCUUGGAGACCAGCUCUUCCAAAGUCAAAGGUGAGA
rnacentral:sRNA from 1 species